rnacentral:lncRNA from 1 species
CGCUUGGUAACUUAAAUAGGUGAGGAUUGGGUCGGAACGUGGAUCCUAUGAUGUGAAUGAAAAGAGAUGUACCCAAUGGGGGUGUCGAUGACAUAGAAAGUAGUGUUAAUGUUAAAGAACAAACGAGUGGUAUUCAAAUGUUAAAUGAUGACGAGUGGCAUUAAUGUAGUGUAAAUAACACUAGAGGUUUGAGAACCUAGGGAUAGGUGAUCCCUUAGAAAAUGCCUUGUGAACAAGAAGUUAGUAAACCUAAGUAGCCUCACAUGGAGAGGUUGUCGAUGAGUCGAUUGAGACAUUGACCCUAGUGGUAGGGCUUCCUCACUUGGAGAGGAUCUGAUUGGGUUGUGGACCCUAGUUAUAGUGCUUCCUCACUUGGAGAGGAUUCGAUUGGGUAUUGACUCUAGUUGUAGAGCAUCCUCACUUGGAGAGGACUUGAUUGGGUUGUUGACCCUAGAUGUAGGGCAUCCUCACUUGGAGAGGAUAGAUCUAGCUCACAGUCUGCGUUUGGGAUGGUAUAGCCAUCCAAUCCCCACAUGGAGGGGAUUGUCGUCGAGUACUCCGGAGUGUCGUGCGACUAGGACCACUUGGAGGUCCGGACCACAUGGAGGUCUGUAGACGGUCCCGGGCUUGGGUGCACUUGGAGCUCCCUCCCCACUUUGGGAUUGAAAGGGUGAGUUAUAGGCGAGCCCUAGGGCCUCGCCACAGAUUGGGUAAACGAAAAGGCUAAAGGUUUAACAAUGUCAUUGAACAUUACUAUUCGAACAUGGAUCGAAUUUGUUAGCAUGGUAGCAAACCUUUAUUAUAUGAUGCAUGCAUUCAUAUUUAUGAUUAUGGGCAUAGUAGCAUAGUUUUCCUACUAUCGCAUUUACAGUUUUCAGAUACAUAUCUAUCUAUCUAUCUGUUGUUACUUGUGCCCACUUGGACCUAGUGGGAAGAUCGGCAGAGUCGGCGGCCGAGCCCACUGGGAACUAUGGAAGAUAGUUCUCACCCCACUCUAUUUCCAGUGGUAGGUUCAGGGCUGCAGAGAGAGGACCGCGGCAAGGGCGUCGCGCCCGACCAGUGAGACCGUGGUAGUAUAGUAGCUUUCCUUUUUGCAUUAGUCACCUAUGUAUUGAGAGAGAUUCAUGUAGGUGAGGUCGGAGAGCUAUGUAUUUUGAGGAUCAAAUGUAUUCACUUGGGAAAAUGAUGUAACUAUUGUAAUAGUUAGUAAAGUACUCUCUUUAUUUCACUUGUAUAUCUUGUGGAUUACUUGCUCUUCUUGUUGUUGGCACUGUUUGUGCCCUCGUUGAAUGUGUAUGUUUAGAAUUUAAAGUCCUGGGUAAAUUCUUGUACACAUUCCUGUUGUUGAGCCUUGGGCGGACAGGGGAGGUGCUGUCCGUUCGGCGGUCCGUCGCCGCGGCCGAACCGUGCCAAAUCGGUAGUGGUUUCGGGGCGGGGCGUGACAGCCUUUGUGGUAUCAGAGCCAUAAGAGCAAGUAAAGAGAGUUUAGGAAGACCUAGGAGACCCUAGGUUGGCAAGCCUUAAGGUUAUAGGUGCGUGAGCGGAACGUGAACCUAUGGCGAUGGCGGAAGUUAAGUCAAUUGGGUCGAAGUUGGUAUAGGUCUCUAGUUGAGAUUAGAGACGAAUUCGAGUUGUACGAGUUCUUGACUUGAGGUGGUUGUGUCGGCGGCCGACGACAUGAUGCCAAGAGUCUAGGACGAGUACGCUUGUGUGCUUCCGCCCGAUUUUGUGAAUGAGUCGUCAUGCGUCGUAGUGCGACGAGACAGNAGGACCGCGGCAAGGGCAUAGCGCCCGAUCAGUGAGACCGCGGUAGUAUAGUAGCUUUCCCUUUUGCAUUAGUACACCUAUGUAUUGAGAGAGAAUCAUUGUUGGUAAGGACUUAGAGAGCUAUGUAUUUUGGAUGAAUGAUAUACUCAUUUAAAGAAAAUGAUGUAAAUGAAAUGAUGAAACUAUUGUAAUAGUUAGUAAAGUACUCUCUUUAUUUCACAUGCUUUAUCUUGUGGAUUACUUGCUCAUGUAUUGUUGGCACUGAUUGUGCCCUUGUGAAUGUGUAUGUUUAGAAUUUAAAUUCCUGGGUAAAUUCUUGUGCACAUUCCGGUUGUUGAGCCUUAGGCGGAUAGGGUAGGUGCUGUCCGUUCGGCAAUCCGCCUCUGUGCCAAAUUGGUAGUGGUUUCGGGGCGGGGCGUGACAUGAGGGCACAGCUACAGGAUUUGUUGGACAAGGGCUUCAUUCGACUGAGCGUCUCGCCGUUGGGAGCGCCAGUUCUGUUCGUUAAGAAAAAGGACGGAUCACUUCGUGUAUGUGUGGACUAUCGUGAACUCAAUAAAGUCACGAUCAAGAAUAAGUAUCCGUUGCCGAGGAUCGACGACUUCUUUGAUCAGCUUCAAGGAUCGUGUGUGUAUUCCAAGAUAGACUUGCAGUCGGAAUACCACUAGUUAAAGAUCAAACCCGAGGAUGUGUCAAAGACGGGUUUUAGAACACGGUAUGGACACUAUGAGUUCACAGUUAUGCCGUUUGGGCUUACUAAUGCCCCGACAGCUUUUAUGGAUCUGAAGAACCGUGUUUUUAUGCCUUAUCUAGACAGGUUCGUCGUGGUGUUCAUCGACGACAUCUUGGUUUAUUCCCGAAGUGAUGUAGAUCACGAGGAACAUUUGAGAAUUGUCUCCAAGUACUUCGGAAAAAGGAGCUUUUUGCCAAGUUGAGAAAGUGUGAAUUUUGGCUUCGAGAGGUAGCCUUCCUAGGACACUUGAUUUCAGGAUCAGGUAUAGCCGUGAAUCCCAAGAAGAUUGAAACCAUCAAGGAUUGGCCGAGACCGACGAGUGUUACGGAGAUUCAGAGUUUCCUUGGACUGGCCGGUUACUACCGGAGAUUUGUCGAGGGGUUCGCUAAGCUAUCUACCCCCCUCACGAGGCUCACGCAUAAAGGUCUCAAGUUCAUCUGGAAUGAUGCGUGCGAAAGAAGCUUCCAAGAGUUGAAGCAACGACUGACGACCGCCCCGAUCCUGACCCUACCUGUGGCUGGAGUAGGGUAUGUGAUUUAUAGUGAUGCAUUUCUUAAUGGAUUGGAUUACGUUUUGAUGCAGGAUGGCAAGGUGAUUGCGUAUGCUUCCCGCCAACUGAAGGAAUAUGAAAAGAGUUACCAUACGCAUGAUUUGGAGUUGGCGGCCGUAGUCUUCGUAUUGAAGUUAUGGCGCCACUAUCUUUAUGGCGAGCGGUGUGAAGUGUACACGGAUCACAAGAGCCUCAAAUGCCUGUUUACUCAGAAGGAGUUGAACUUGAGACAGCGCAGAUAGUUGGAGCUGCUCAAGGAUUAUGAUUUGACUAUUCUUUACCACCCGGGCAAGGCUAACGUGGUGGCGGNCGAGGAAGUUGGUUAAAGUGAUUAACCAAGUGGUUGCGUUUCAGGAGCUAUGGCACCGAAGAGACGCCCAAGUACGAGAUCCACUCCGGCACCGCCACCCGAGGUGCCCGAGCAGACGGAGCCGAGCAUGAUGGAUCGGCUGCAGGCACAAGUGACCGCGUUGACUAACAUGGUGCAGCGCCAGGAGACCCGAUUCGAGAGGCUCCAGGAGCUUAUGGAGCGACAGCUCGCGGCAGCGCCCGCGACAGUGGCUGAGGGCGGUGGUCCGCCCGCGCCCUCGACCCGUGUACCCGAGGUGGCAGAGGGUGAGGGUAUAGCGGCGGUUCCGGUGACGGCACGCCCACCGCCAGCGAUCGCACCAUAGGCGGCAUCGGGAUCGGCUACACCCGAUGUGUCGGCCGAAGAUGUGGAAGGAGAGCGCGCGUUGGCGGCUCUUAUCAAGUUCAACAAGUUCUCUCCGCCAACUUUUGAGGGCGAGAAGGUGGAACCGGAGAUGGUCGAGUCUUGGAUCGACUCGAUGGAAACCCUCUUCGACGACUUGCGUACCCUGGAGAGGGACAAGGUGUACCUCGCCACCCAUUGCUUGGAGAAGGCGGCGAAGAUUUGGUUGAAGCGUGUUAAGCGGGAUCGACUUCCCGGCCUUCCGCCGAUGUUGUGGGAGGAAUUUAAGCGGGAGAUGUUCGCCAACUAUUUCCCCGAUACACUGAAGCGGAAGCUCAAGGAGAAAUUCCGCAAGUUGGAGCAAGGGGACCGCUCAGUGGCGGAGUAUGAACAAGAAUUCUCCUACAUCAUAGAUUGUGUUCCGGAUGUUGUCAAGGAUGACCGGGACCGGGCCGAGUGGUUCUUGCGAGGACUUCGGCCGGGAAUCUACAAGGCCGUGCAAAUACUUAAGCUUACGACCUUUGCUGAGGUCUUUGAUCGAGCAUUAUGGGCGGAGCACGGAGACGCCCACGUUCGGGAGAAGCGUGAGCUUUUGGCGAAGUCCAAGGACAAGGGCAAGAAACGCCAAGGCGGCGGUAAUUCGGGUGGUCAGACACGUUACAAGAAACCCCCGAAGUAUGCGCGCACUCAACAGAAGAGCGGUGGAGUGCGGCGAUGCAUGAUAUGCGGCGGAGACCACCCGGUCUCGCGCUGUGAACAAGGCCGGGGCAAGUGCUACAAAUGUGGGCAGCCGGGACACUUUAUUCGAGAUUGCCCGGGAGGAGGAGCCUCACCUGCCCCUUCAAUUGCAUCGGCGCCGGCGAUUCCGACCCACUAUGGAGGAGCCCCACCGGCGGCUGCGACGACUAGACGCGCAAUGACGUCGCGUCAACCCGAUGCGGCGCGAUCAGCCCCAAGCGGACGGGUAUUCGCCGCUCAGGUCCAAGCUGAGGAACCUGCAGAGGCGGAGGAGCAUCGCCUUGUGGCAGGUAUCGUUUUAAUUAACGGAGUUCGCUCCAGGGCUUUAUUUGAUACAGAAGCCACGCAUUCAUUCAUAAGUAGAUCAUUCGCACGCAUGCAUGGCAUACAUAUAGAAGCGAGUGACAAGUGGCGAGUAGAGGGCCCUGGGUCGACAUUUAAUACCUACUCGGAGUGCGCCUCGUGUCCGGUGCAAAUAGGCGAAUGGAUUAUGCCAAUCCGGACGUUGGAACUCCCGAAACUAGAGGCGUACGAUGUCAUACUGGGUAUAGACUGGCUUUCAAAGUAUCAUGCAACGAUCGACUGCAAGAGCAGGGUGAUCACGUUCCGUGAGCCAGGACAAGAAGAAUUCACCUAUCAAGCUUGCCAGAGCUCGUGCUUCGUCGCGACGGUGUCGGCGACAAGGGCAAGAAAGUUGGUGAGCAACGGUUGUGCGGCAUUUUUGGCAACUGUUGUGGAAGUGGAACGAGUAGCUCCAACAUUGGAAGAGCUAUUGGUGGUGCGGGAGUUCCCGGAUGUGUUUCCCGCGGAGUUGCCGGGGAUACCGCCGGAUCGGGAGAUCGAGUUCGUUAUAGACUUGAUUCCCGGCACCGCACCGAUCUCGAAGGCCCCGUACCGCAUGGCGCCGGCGGAACUAAAGGAGUUGAGGAGUCAACUGCAAGACCUCCUCGACAAGCAAUUUAUCCGGCCCAGUGUAUCACCGUGGGGAGCCCCGGUGUUGUUUGUACGGAAGAAGGACGGAUCGUUUCGACUCUGCGUGGACUACCGAGAAUUGAACAGAGUCACGAUCAAGAAUAAGUACCCACUACCCCGAAUCGAUGACUUGUUCGAUCAGUUGCAAGGGUCGUGUGUGUACUCGAAGAUAGACUUGCAAUCCGGCUACCACCAAUUGAAGAUCAAGCCGGAGGACGUGCAGAAGACCGCAUUUCGUACGCGGUAUGGACAUUACGAAUUCACGGUCAUGCCAUUUGGGCUCACAAAUGCCCCAGCGGCAUUUAUGGAUUUGAUGAACCGUGUCUUCAGGAAGUUCUUGGAUCGAUUUGUCGUGGUCUUCAUAGACGACAUAUUGGUCUAUUCUCGUAGCGACGAGGAACAUGCCGAGCAUUUGAGAAUAGUGCUUCAAGUCCUUCGGGAGGAGAAGCUAUAUGCUAAGUUGAAGAAGUGUGACUUCUGGCUCCGAGAAGUCGCAUUUCUAGGGCAUGUAAUUUCCGCGGGUGGAGUUUCUGUAGACCCGAGGAAAGUUGAGGCAAUCAAGGAUUGGCCGCGCCCGACGAAUGUCACGGAGGUUCGAAGCUUCGUGGGCUUAGCGGGCUACUAUAGGCGGUUUGUGGAAGGCUUUUCAAAGAUAGUGAUUCCACUUACUCGUCUAACCCAGAAAGGCACCAAGUUCGUUUGGAGCGAAGAAUGCGACCGGAGUUUCAAAGAGUUGAAGCAAAGAUUGACUUCGACUCCGGUGCUCGCUCUACCGGUGCAGGGCGAAGACUUUGUGGUCUAUAGUGAUGCCUCCUAUCUUGGGUUGGGGUGUGUGUUGAUGCAAAACGGGAAGGUGAUUGCCUACGCAUCCCGUCAGCUGAAGAGCUACGAGAAGAACUACCCCAUCCAUGAUUUGGAGCUAGCGGCGGUGAUAUUCGCCUUAAAGCUGUGGAGGCACUAUUUAUAUGGUGCCCACUGUGAGAUCUAUACCGACCACAAGAGCUUAAAGUACUUGUUUACUCAGAAGGAGCUCAAUAUGCGUCAGCGGCGGUGGUUGGAGCUGUUAAAGGAUUAUGAUGUCGAUAUCCUCUACCACCCCGGGAAGGCAAAUGUGGUCGCGGACGCACUAAGUAGGAAGUCGGCGAAGAACCUCGCAUUUGAUGUUACCCAGCAAACACCUCUGUGGCUGGAUAUGGAGCGAUUGGACCUUGAAGUGGUCGCUCCCGAGGUCCCGACUCAGCUGAUGGCACUCGUUGUCCAACCGACCUUGUUGGAGAGGAUUAAAGAUCUGCAACCCGCAGACCCAGAGCUCCAAAAGGUGCGGCGAAACAUCGAGGAAGGGCGUGGCGGCGAUUUCAGUAUAAACGCCGAUGGUGCGCUUCGGUUUAGAAACCGAUGGUGUGUGCCGAAAGAUGGAGAGCUUCGCGAAUUGAUUCUACAAGAAGCACACAGAUCUCCGUAUGCUGAUCACCCGGGCGGCACCAAAAUAUAUCGAGGAUUGAAAAUGCAUUACUGGUGGCCGGGAAUGAAGAUGGAGAGCUUCGCGAAUUGAUUCUAUAAGAAGCACACAGAUCUCCGUAUGCUGAUCACUCGGGCGGCACCAAAAUGUAUCGAGGAUUGAAAAUGCAUUACUGGUGGCCGGGAAUGAAGGGUGAAAUUGGGCGCUUUGUGGCGAAGUGCUUAACGUGCCAGCAAGUAAAAGCAGAGCGUCGGUUCCCAGCGGAAAAACUUCAAAGCCUACCAAUCCCCGUUUGGAAAUGGGAGGAUAUCUCGAUGGACUUCGUGGUCGGCUUGCCUCGCUCAACGGGCGGCCACGAUGCAAUUUGGGUAAUUGUGGACCGAUUAACUAAGUCGGCUCAUUUCUUGCCGAUCCACACCACGUGGUCAGGUGACAAGUUAGCGCAGGUAUAUCUCGACGAGAUAGUGAGACUACAUGGGGUGCCGAAAUCGAUCGUAUCGGAUCGUGACCCCCGGUUCACUUCACACUUUUGGAAAAGCCUGCAAGAAGCCCUUGGCACGCGGCUCGAUUUUAGCACCGCAUUUCAUCCUCAGACCGAUGGGCAAACAGAGAGAACAAUUCAAACUCUGGAGGAUAUGUUGCGAGCGUGUGUCAUCGACUAUAAGGGAAGUUGGUGUGACCACCUACCCAUGGCCGAGUUCGCCUACAACAACAGUUAUCAUGCUAGUGUGGAGAUGGCACCGUUCGAGGCUCUUUACGGGCGGACGUGUCGGUCUCCUAUACACUGGAGCGAUGUUGGCGAGCGUGCGGAGUUCGGCCCGGAUGUGUUGCGAGAAGCGGAGGAGAAAGUCCGCCUUGCUCGCAAGAGAUUGCUCACGGCGCAGUCAAGACAGCAAAGUUAUGCGGAUAGGCGCCGUCGAGAUAUAGAAUUCGCAGUGGGUGACCGCGUAUUCUUGAAGGUUUCACCCAUGCGGGGUGUGAAGCGGUUUGGAGUGCGGGGAAAGCUAAGUCCCCGAUAUAUUGGACCAUAUGAGAUAUUAGAGCGAGUCGGCACGGUGGCCUACCGACUUGCUCUACCGCCGAAGCUUGCGGACGUACAUAAUGUGUUCCAUGUCUCCAAUCUCCGCAAGUACAUUCACGACCCCGAGCACGCAAUGCUAUAUGAACCGCCGGAACUUCAAGAAGACUUGAGCUAUGAAGAGUUUCCGGUAGGGAUUAUCGCCCGAGAGGUGCGAAAGCUGAGGAAUCGAGAAAUCCCCUAUGUGAAAAUUUGGCGGAGCAAUCACGAUGAUCGCGAGGCCACCUGGGAACUCGAGGAGCUGAUAAGGAAACACCAUUCUCAUCUGUUCGAGGGGUAAGGUAUGAGUUUAAAUUAAAGUUAGGAAAUUGUUCGUUUCGAGGACGAAACUCCUUUUAAGGAGGGGAGGAUGUAAGGAAGUGAAUUCUCGAAAUAUGAGGAUUGUACUUCAUCCAGGAUCGACUAAUUGUCGAAAGUAUACCCUUUGUGGGAGUUGAGAAUGUCCAAAGCACAAAAAGUGCCUUGGAGUUGAGUCCGCGAGAGCAAAUGAGGCAAAUUGCAUCAUUGGGCUGAUGUUGCUCUCGGGGACCGGUCUCUGCAGGUGAGAGACCGGUUCCCCUGGCUGGGCGUAGCGGGGUUGCGUGAUGCAACCGGUCCCUGGCAGGGAGGGACCGGUUCCCGAACGUGGUCCCAGCGAGAGAUGCCAAAAAUUGGCUAAGUCCUGAAAAUCGAGCUCUCGGGGACCGGUCUCUCAGGUGAGGACCGGUCUCCCGAGGACCGGUCUCCCGGGGAGAGACCGGUUCCCGAACGCGUGCGCCCGAGGGAAGCUCUCGGGGACCGGUCCCAAGUCGGGGAGACCGGUCCCUCCGCGCGAAAACUGCCCAGUGAGGGCAGUGCACAGGGGUGAAAGUUGAGGGGCUUUUAUGCAAAAUGGCCUUUAUUUGAGUGGGCUGAGCCCUCUCUCUCCCUCACACUCUCUCAUUUCACUCUCUCUCACUCUCAUUUCUCUCUUGCUCUCUCUCUCUCUAGAAAGGAAAGAAGGAGAAGAAGAACAAGAAGGAGAGGAAGGAAAAGAAGAGGAAGAUAAGGAAGGAGAAGAAGAAGGAGAUCAAGAGGAAGGCUUUGAGCACCUCCAUCUCCCUCUCCUCUUCCCAUUGGAGUAGCUCUUGAGGUAAGCUACUAAACCCUAGCUUCUAGAACUUAGGGUUUUUGGGUUUUAUGCCUUGGAAUGGGUCAAAUGGACCCUAAGCAAGCUUCUAAAUAGAUCAAUCCCAAGAAUCUAGGGAUUUAUGGGGUGGUUUGCUAUAGGUGCAAAUCUAGGGUUCCAAAAUGGGGUUUUUGUAAAAGUAUGAGAUUGAUCUCAUUUGAAGCCUUGGAAACCCUAUUGAUAGGUCCCAAAACGCGGGGGCGAAGUCGAUUUUGGCAUUCGGCGAACCGACGUGAAGUUCUCGGCAAAAUCGGGCCGGGCUAGUGUUGAUUCGGGCGAGGAAGGCUAAAGCCUUUUCGUAAAGCUCGCCGAGAGAGAUUUCCGAAACCUCUACAUCGAUUAAAGGUGGGGGGUGUCAUCCGAAACUUUCGAACUCCUUUCUAUGUCUUAGAUUGCAUUUAAUCUCAUCUCUUCAUGUUGCAUUGUAGGAUUGCAUAGUAGCUCCAUUCCUUAUGCUUUCUAAUUGAUAACCUAGUGUACUUGGAACGCUUGGUAACUUAGAUAGGUGAGGAUUGGGUCGAGACGUGAAUCCUAUGGUGCGAAAGAAAAGAGAUGAACCCGAUGGGGGUAUUGAUGACAUAGAAAGUAGUGUUAUUGUUAAAGAACAAACGAGUGGCAUCCAAACAUUGAAUGAUAACGAGUGGCAUUAAUGUAGUGUAAAUAACACUAGAGGUCGAUGGACCUAGGGAUAGGUGGA